UAGCAUGCUCAUCCCUAACUUCUUCAUCUAUUGCUCUUUCAUCCCUAUCUUCAUCUUCUUCAUCUUCAUCUCAAACUUUGUCAUAUUCUUCGUUCCCAAUGCCUUUGUCCAUAGCUCCAUCUAUUUCUUUGUCUUUAAAUUCACCAUCAGUAACUUCUAUAACUUCUUCCUCCCCAACUCUUUCAUUGACAGCUCCUUCAUCCAUAUCUUCUUUAUCAUCAAUUAUUGGACUGGCUUCUGGGGCAUCAAUUGCACUACUAAUUAUAAUAAUUGUUCUUAUAGUAAUUGUAGUGGUAGCAGCAACAGUUCGAUUUAAAAA